rnacentral:tRNA from 1 species
GGCAAGGUGGCUCAGUGGUAGAGUGCUUGCCUUGAACACAGGAGGCCCUGGGUUCGAUUCCUCAGUACCA